rnacentral:rRNA from 2 species
AGGGGGGGUGCUAAUACAUGCAAGUCGAGCGAACUGAUUAGAAGCUUGCUUCUAUGACGUUAGCGGCGGACGGGUGAGUAACACGUGGGCAACCUGCCUGUAAGACUGGGAUAACUUCGGGAAACCGAAGCUAAUACCGGAUAGGAUCUUCUCCUUCAUGGGAGAUGAUUGAAAGAUGGUUUCGGCUAUCACUUACAGAUGGGCCCGCGGUGCAUUAGCUAGUUGGUGAGGUAACGGCUCACCAAGGCAACGAUGCAUAGCCGACCUGAGAGGGUGAUCGGCCACACUGGGACUGAGACACGGCCCAGACUCCUACGGGAGGCAGCAGUAGGGAAUCUUCCGCAAUGGACGAAAGUCUGACGGAGCAACGCCGCGUGAGUGAUGAAGGCUUUCGGGUCGUAAAACUCUGUUGUUAGGGAAGAACAAGUACAAGAGUAACUGCUUGUACCUUGACGGUACCUAACCAGAAAGCCACGGCUAACUACGUGCCAGCAGCCGCGGUAAUACGUAGGUGGCAAGCGUUAUCCGGAAUUAUUGGGCGUAAAGCGCGCGCAGGCGGUUUCUUAAGUCUGAUGUGAAAGCCCACGGCUCAACCGUGGAGGGUCAUUGGAAACUGGGGAACUUGAGUGC